CAGUCGAGGGGAACGGCAUCAAGCGCUUGCGCCUGAUGGACGUCGACCGGCGCACGGGUGAGUAACGCGUAUCCAACCUGCCCCACACUAAGGGACAACCCGCAGAAAUGUGGGCUAAUACCUUAUAUUUUCCACCAAGGGCAUCGUCGAUGGAACAAAGAUUUAUCGGUAUGGGAUGGGGAUGCGUCCGAUUAGGUUGUUGGCGGGGUAACGGCCCACCAAGCCAUCGAUCGGUAGGGGUUCUGAGAGGAAGGUCCCCCACAUAGGAACUGAGACACGGUCCUAACUCCUACGGGAGGCAGCAGUGAGGAAUAUUGGUCAAUGGGCGGGAGCCUGAACCAGCCAAGUAGCGUGCAGGAAGACGGCCCUAUGGGUUGUAAACUGCUUUUAUGCGGGGAUAAAGGAGUCCACGUGUGGGCUUUUGCAGGUACCGCAUGAAUAAGGACCGGCUAAUUCCGUGCCAGCAGCCGCGGUAAUACGGAAGGUCCGGGCGUUAUCCGGAUUUAUUGGGUUUAAAGGGAGCGUAGGCCGCGUUUUAAGCGUGUUGUGAAAUGUAGGCGCCCAACGUCUGCAUCGCAGCGCGAACUGGAACGCUUGAGUACGCGCAACGUUGGCGGAAUUCGUCGUGUAGCGGUGAAAUGCUUAGAUAUGACGAAGAACUCCGAUUGCGAAGGCAGCUGACGGGAGCGGCACUGACGCUUAAGCUCGAAGGUGCGGGUAUCAAACAGGAUUAGAUACCCUGGUAGUCCGCACGGUAAACGAUGGAUGCUCGCUGUGUGCCUUUUGUGGUACGCGGCUAAGCGAAAGCGUUAAGCAUCCCACCUGGGGAGUNNNNCGGCAACGGUGAA
rnacentral:rRNA from 1 species